GUAGGUGGCAAGCGUUGUCCGGAAUUAUUGGGCGUAAAGCGCGCGCAGGCGGUUUUUUAAGUCUGAUGUGAAAGCCCACGGCUCAACCGUGGAGGGUCAUUGGAAACUGGGGAACUUGAGUACAGAAGAGGAAAGCGGAAUUCCACGUGUAGCGGUGAAAUGCGUAGAGAUGUGGAGGGACACCAGUGGCGAAGGCGGCUUUCUGGUCUGUAACUGACGCUGAGGCGCGAAAGCGUGGGGAGCAAACAGGAUUAGAUACCCUGGUAGUCCACGCCGUAAACGAUGAGUGCUAAGUGUUAGGGGGUUUCCCGCCCCCCUUAGUGCUGCAGCUAACGCAUUAAGCACUCCGCCUGGGGAGUACGGCCGCAAGGCUG
rnacentral:rRNA from 1 species